GACAAACGCUGGCGGCGUGCCUAAUACAUGCAAGUAGGACGCACAGUCUAUACCGUAGCUUGCUACACCAUAGGCUGUGAGUUGCGAACGGGUGAGUAACGCGUAGGUAACCUGCCUAUUAGAGGGGGAUAACUAUUGGAAACGAUAGCUAAUACCGCAUAACAGUAUGUAACACAUGUUAGAUGCUUGAAAGAUGCAAUUGCAUCGCUAGUAGAUGGACCUGCGUUGUAUUAGCUAGUAGGUAGGGUAAUGGCCUACCUAGGCAACGAUACAUAGCCGACCUGAGAGGGUGAUCGGCCACACUGGGACUGAGACACGGCCCAGACUCCUACGGGAGGCAGCAGUAGGGAAUCUUCGGCAAUGGGGGGAACCCUGACCGAGCAACGCCGCGUGAGUGAAGAAGGUUUUCGAAUCGUAAAGCUCUGUUGUUAAGGAAGAACGAGUGUGAGAAUGGAAAGUUCAUA
rnacentral:rRNA from 1 species